CAAAGGCAUGGUCCCAACCUUUCCAUCAGCUUUAACCCAACUUACACAUGCAAGUCUCCGCAACCCCGUGAGUAUGCCCUUAAUCCCCUAAACUGGGGACGAGGAGCGGGCAUCAGGAACAAAAUUUAGCCCAAAACGCCUGGCCAAGCCACACCCCCAAGGGAAUCCAGCAGUGAUAAACAUUAAGCCAUAAGUGAAAACUUGACUUAGUCAGGGUUAAGAGGGCCGGUAAAAUUCGUGCCAGCAACCGCGGUUAAACGAAUAGCCCCAGUUGAUGGUACCACGGCGUAAAGGGUGGUUAGGGAAUAUAAUAAUAGAGUCAAAGGAUCCUUUAGUUGUCAUACACUCAUGGGAGCCCGAAGCCCAAACACGAAAGUUACUUUAAUAAAAUUACCUGAACCCACGAAAACUGAGAAACAAACUGGGAUUAGAUACCCCACUAUGCUCAGCCGUAAACCAAGACAUACACAUACAAUGAUGUCCGCCCGGGUACUACGAGCAUCAGCUUAAAACCCAAAGGACCUGACGGUGCCUUAGACCCCCCUAGAGGAGCCUGUUCUAGAACCGAUAAUCCCCGUUAAACCUCACCAUUUCUGGUCCAUCCAGCCUAUAUACCGCCGUCGCCAGCUUACCCUGUGAAGGAAUAAAAGUAAGCAAAAAGAGCACCCCCUCAAAACGUCAGGUCGAGGUGUAGCUAACGAAAUGGGAAGAAAUGGGCUACAUUUUCUAAAAUAGAAUAUCACGAACACGCAAAAUGAAAUUAUUGCUUGAAGGAGGAUUUAGUAGUAAAAAGGAAAUAGAGUGUCCUUUUGAACUCGGCCCUGAGGCACGUACACACCGCCCGUCACUCUCCCCCGUCACAGCGAGCAGACAUCUACUUAACACUUUAGCACAGACAAGGGGAGGCAAGUCGUAACAAGGUAAGUGUACCGGAAGGUGCACUUGGAUAAAUU
rnacentral:ncRNA from 1 species